rnacentral:rRNA from 1 species
GUGGCGCACGGGUGAGUAACACGUGAAUGACAUGCCCUUCAGAGGGGGAUAGCCCAGGGAAACUUGGAUUAAUACCCCAUGGUCUCGCAAGAGUAAAGGUGGCGCAAGCUGCCGCUGAGGGAUUGGUUCGCGCCCUAUCAGCUAGUUGGUGAGGUAACGGCUCACCAAGGCGAUGACGGGUACUUGGUCUGAGAGGACGAUCAGGCACACUGGAACUGAGACACGGUCCAGACACCUACGGGUGGCAGCAGUCGAGAAUAAUUCACAAUGGGGGCAACCCUGAUGGUGCAACGCCGCGUGGAGGAUGAAGGUCUUCGGACUGUAGACUCCUGUCAUCCGGGAGAAAGACCUGGCUGUGAAUAGCAGACAGGGUUGAUAGUACCGGAAGAGGAAGGGACGGCUAACUUCGUGCCAGCAGCCGCGGUAAUACGAAGGUCCCGAGCGUUGUUCGGAAUCACUGGGCGUAAAAGGAGCGUAGGCGGUUUGGUAAGUCAGAUGUGAAAUCCCGGGGCUCAACCCCGGAACUGCAUCCGAUACUGCCAGACUUGAGCAAUGGAGAGGUAGCUGGAAUUAUCGGUGUAGCAGUGAAAUGCGUAGAUAUCGAUAGGAACACUCGUGGCGAAAGCGAGCUACUGGACAUUUGCUGACGCUGAGGCUCGAAGGCUAGGGGAGCGAAAGGGAUUAGAUACCCCUGUAGUCC